AGUAAUCUAUACUAUUAAACGAGAAGACCUCAUUUUGGGUGUCGCUUCUCUUCUUUCCACAAUAAAUUAAUCAACACGCCUCUGUGUCCUAUAGGUACAGUGCAUAGUCGCAUUUGUCAUCCAUUCAUAUGAUUAUUCAGAUUGAGUUAUUUUGGGAGAAAAACGAGAAAAAAGGCAUCCGGAUAUUGUCCCGUCAUUGGACG
rnacentral:lncRNA from 1 species